GGGGUUUACGACGGCCAGUGAUUAGAGUUUGAUCCUGGCUCAGGAUGAACGCUGGCGGCGUGCUUAACACAUGCAAGUCGAGCGAGAAAUCGCAGAAGGAAGCUUCGGUAGAAUUCUGUGAUGGAAAGCGGCGGACGGGUGAGUAACGCGUGGGAAACCUGCCCUUGACAGGGGGACAGCCGAGGGAAACUUCGAUUAAUACCCCAUAACGCAGAGAGACCGCAUGGUCAUUCUGCCAAAGAAUUAUCGGUCAGGGAUGGUCCCGCGUCUGAUUAGCUGGUUGGUGAGGCAGCGGCUCACCAAGGCGACGAUCAGUAGCCGGCCUGAGAGGGUGAACGGCCACAUUGGAACUGAGACACGGUCCAGACUCCUACGGGAGGCAGCAGUGGGGAAUAUUGCACAAUGGGCGCAAGCCUGAUGCAGCAACGCCGCGUGAAGGAGGAAGGCCUUCGGGUCGUAAACUUCUGUCCAAAGGGAAGAAGAAUGACGGUACCUUUGGAGGAAGCCCCGGCUAACUACGUGCCAGCAGCCGCGGUAACACGUAGGGGGCGAGCGUUAUCCGGAAUUACUGGGCGUAAAGAGUGCGUAGGUGGCUUUGCAAGCGUAGGGUAUAAGGCGACAGCCCAACUGUCGUUGGCCCCGCGAACUGUAAGGCUUGAGUACAGGAGGGGAAGGCGGAAUUCCUAGUGUAGCGGUGAAAUGCGUAGAUAUUAGGAGGAACACCAGUGGCGAAAGCGGCCUUCUGGACUGUAACUGACACUGAGGCACGAAAGCGUGGGUAGCAAACAGGAUUAGAUACCCUGGUAGUCCACGCCGUAAACGAUGAGCACUAGGUGUCGGGCUCGCAAGAGUUCGUGCCCGGAGCAAACGCAUUAAGUGCUCCGCCUGGGAGUACGCACGCAAGUGUGAAACUCAAAGGAAUUGACGGGGACUCGCACAGCAGCGAGCAUGUGGUUUAUUCGAAGCAACGCGAGAUCUACAGGGCUGACAUCCCUCUGAAAGUCGGUAUGCGACCCCUCUCGAGCAGAGAGACAGUGUGCAUGGUGUCGUCAGCUCAGUCCUGAAUGUCGUAAGUCGCAACGAGCAUCGUGCAUAUGCAUCAUGAUGGCAUCAUGGUACUGCAGACAGCUGAGAGGCGAUAGCUAUCUAGCGUGCUGGCAACUGUCAUGCGCUACAAGAGGCGA
rnacentral:rRNA from 1 species